CCUACGGGGGGCAGCAGUGAGGAAUAUUGGUCAAUGGGCGCGAGCCUGAACCAGCCAAGUAGCGUGAAGGAUGACUGCCCUACGGGUUGUAAACUUCUUUUAUAAAGGAAUAAAGCGAGGCACGUGUGCCUCUUUGUAUGUACCUUAUGAAUAAGGAUCGGCUAACUCCGUGCCAGCAGCCGCGGUAAUACGGAGGAUCCGAGCGUUAUCCGGAUUUAUUGGGUUUAAAGGGAGCGUAGGCGGGUUGUUAAGUCAGGUGUGAAAGUUUGCGGCUCAACCGUAGAAGUGCAGUUGAUACUGGCAGCCUGGAGUGCAGGUGAGGUAGGCGGAAUUCGUGGUGUAGCGGUGAAAUGCUUAGAUAUCACGAAGAACUCCGAUUGCGAAGGCAGCUUACUAAAGUGCAACUGACGUUGAUGCUCGAAAGUGUGGGUAUCGAACAGGAUUAGAUACCCCGGUAGUC
rnacentral:rRNA from 1 species